UUGGAAUAUGGAAAGAGCUGAAGUGUAGAUGUUGAAAAGGCAAAGAGAGGAUGAAGAGGGUUAAAUGAUCACAAGUUCAGGAUUUGUGUCCUAGAAAAAUGAGGUGGAACUACAUUCAGGGGAGGUGGGAGGCAUGCUGGAGGGUCGUUAAGCAUAGACUCAGCUGCUUCUGUUCCAACCUCGUCUGCCUCCAGAUUACCCACAACUCAUGGCUGUGUUUGUAUUGGUAGAGAUUUUCCAAGGACAAGCAACUAUAAAGUAAAAAUGUAAUUCUACUAUUCACCUGAGUCAACUCUCCAGCUUGUAACUAUCUGCUCUACUCAGCGAGGUCAGUGAAUCUUGCCUUCAUUGAUCAUCUGGCCUUCAUUGAUCAUCUGGCCCAGUGAAAUGAGCUGCAGACUGGAAAUCACGAGACCAGUGUUUUUGCCCAUGUGACCUCAGCACCUGGUAUUGUUCAAAAUCCUACCCCUUGUCUCACAAUCUUUAUGAAUCUUCUCAAAAGGACCCGCUUCCUCUGGAUCGCAGUGCACCAUGUGAUUCUGGCUGCAGCACCUCUAUUACAGUUAUUCGGGGAGGCACAGCACUGUU